CCUACGGGAGGCAGCAGUGGGGAAUAUUGCACAAUGGGGGAAACCCUGAUGCAGCGACGCCGCGUGAGUGAAGAAGUAUUUCGGUACGUAAAGCUCUAUCAGCAGGGAAGAAAAUGACGGUACCUGACUAAGAAGCCCCGUCUAACUACGUGCAAGCAGCCGCGGUAAUACGUAGGGGGCAAGCGUUAUCCGGAUUUACUGGGUGUAAAGGGAGCGUAGACGGCAGCGCAAGUCUGGAGUGAAAUCCCAUGGCUUAACCAUGGAACUGCUUUGGAAACUGUGCAGCUAGAGUGCAGGAGAGGUAAGCGGAAUUCCUAGUGUAGCGGUGAAAUGCGUAGAUAUUAGGAGGAACACCAGUGGCGAAGGCGGCUUACUGGACUGUAACUGACGUUGAGGCUUGAAAGCGUGGGGAGCAAACAGGAUUAGAUACCCCUGUAGUC
rnacentral:rRNA from 1 species